AUGAUUGGACAAUAAUACCCUUUCUCCUAAUCUCCAACACAAGCUACGAUUCAAGCUUUUAUUCUGCCAAAAAUCGUUUUCCCCUAUACCUUCUCAAAUCCGUUCGAGCCAAAAAUCGUUUUCAGGCGUAAGGAAACUGUUUAAGGCGGUGGUUGCUUCUUCUUCGCCACCGCUCCAAGAGGAAACCUGAUUUACAUGGACGAGAACAAGCAAAAGUGCAGCCGCUCCUCAACGCACUCCUCUUCUCGUUUAUCUCAUGUAAACAAUCUGGAUGAUGGUUGUUUGAUGCAUAUCUUCAGCUUCUUAUCUCCAAUCCCAGCUAGAAUCUGGAAUUGUUGAAGUCCCUGUAUUAGUUUCAAAAGCAUCACAUUCAACACUUGUGAUUCCAGAGAUACAGUGAACUACAAGCAACAAGGAUGUACAUGGAAUUAUCAAAGGAAAUAUUAUUGUGGAUUCACACACACAACGUCUGAAUGGUUCAUGGGACAUAAUAAUCAACAUAUCUGGAGGAGAAGUCUUCGGUGGCCAAAAGAAACUUAUCCGGUUUCAUGCAAAUUUUGAAAUUGUAGUGGAUAGGACAUGAAGCAUGAAGCGAAUCUUAAUAAAUAGCAUCGUACUUUGAGAAAUUGAUGAUAUAUAGCAUUGAACUUUCAAAAUUUUGUAAUAGUUAAUAACACUAGCUAUAUCUUCUUCUUUUUUUUUUAUCUUUGUAUGUUCUAAUUAUAAUAUAUACAAUUUUGGUCCUUAAA